AUGCGGCGUGCUAUACAUGCAGUCGAGCGGACAGAUGGGAGCUUGCUCCCUGAUGUUAGCGGCGGACGGGUGAGUAACACGUGGGUAACCUGCCUGUAAGACUGGGAUAACUCCGGGAAACCGGGGCUAAUACCGGAUGGUUGUCUGAACCGCAUGGUUCAGACAUAAAAGGUGGCUUCGGCUACCACUUACAGAUGGACCCGCGGCGCAUUAGCUAGUUGGUGAGGUAACGGCUCACCAAGGCGACGAUGCGUAGCCGACCUGAGAGGGUGAUCGGCCACACUGGGACUGAGACACGGCCCAGACUCCUACGGGAGGCAGCAGUAGGGAAUCUUCCGCAAUGGACGAAAGUCUGACGGAGCAACGCCGCGUGAGUGAUGAAGGUUUUCGGAUCGUAAAGCUCUGUUGUUAGGGAAGAACAAGUGCCGUUCAAAUAGGGCGGCACCUUGACGGUACCUAACCAGAAAGCCACGGCUAACUACGUGCCAGCAGCCGCGGUAAUACGUAGGUGGCAAGCGUUGUCCGGAAUUAUUGGGCGUAAAGGGCUCGCAGGCGGUUUCUUAAGUCUGAUGUGAAAGCCCCCGGCUCAACCGGGGAGGGUCAUUGGAAACUGGGGAACUUGAGUGCAGAAGAGGAGAGUGGAAUUCCACGUGUAGCGGUGAAAUGCGUAGAGAUGUGGAGGAACACCAGUGGCGAAGGCGACUCUCUGGUCUGUAACUGACGCUGAGGAGCGAAAGCGUGGGGAGCGAACAGGAUUAGAUACCCUGGUAGUCCACGCCGUAAACGAUGAGUGCUAAGUGUUAGGGGGUUUCCGCCCCUUAGUGCUGCAGCUAACGCAUUAAGCACUCCGCCUGGGGAGUACGGUCGCAAGACUGAAACUCAAAGGAAUUGACGGGGGCCCGCACAAGCGGUGGAGCAUGUGGUUUAAUUCAAAGCAACGCGAAGAACCUUACCAGGUCUUGACAUCCUCUGACAAUCCUAGAGAUAGGACGUCCCCUUCGGGGGCAAAGUGACAGGUGGUGCAUGGUUGUCUUCAGCUCCUGUCUUGAGAAGUUGGGUUAAGUCCCGCAACCACCGCAACCCUUGAUCUUAGUU
rnacentral:rRNA from 1 species